AGAGAGAGGCAACAAAGCUGAUGAAGAGUCUGGAACACAAGUCUUACGAAGAGCAGCUGAGGGAACUGGGACUAUUUAGUCUGGAGAAGAGGAGGUUCACGGGAGACUUUAUUGCUCUCUACAGCUACCUGAAAGAAGAUUCUCUUUCUUCUACUGUAAUUGGAAGACGGAGACCCCUAACUAAGUUAACAUGUUAAGGGGGAAGAGAGUGUCAACAAGACUCAAGUGUGAAGAGAAAGGAUCACUACACAGAAGCAGAACUUGAAUGACAUUUUGCUAUCGUAUAUCAUCAUGGUUUUAAAAAUAAUAUGUUUGUUCAGAUUUCUCUCCUCGCAAACUGUGAUCUAAGAACAAGGCAACCUCACGACAACCAACAAUUACAGGCAGAACAUCUCAGAAAUAGUCUUUAAAGGAUGAAGCCUCAGGUCACUGUAAAACUGCUGGUUCAGAAGCUCCUCCUCUGGACUGCCAUCACCUUUUCACAUCAAAAAAGUUGCUAAGGACAUCAGUUCUAAACCUGAAAAGGACAAACAGAUGACUCUGCCAUCAUCUCUUUGUGGAGAUGUGGUUGUCACAAUGCUUCCUCAUAAUGUCUGACCUUGUAAUAUCAUUGCAACAAAUUAAUUCCAGCCCAUAGGUAACUUAUUUGUGUAGAAGUUGGCAGAAAUUGGAUGAUUUAUCAAUCUAGUCCUUCAUUUGCAAUUGUAAAUAGAGUAUUGAGUAGGCAAGUUCUAUUUUCAUCAUACAAAUUGACCGUCUUGUACAGAAUUAUUCAAAUGCUAAUACUAAUUUGCACCCAGUGCAAUACUGCUAAAGUCAAAGAGUAAAGCAGGCUUUUUGACCUCACACAGCAAUUGGCCCAUUUAUUUUUCAUUAUGUUCUGUUUGAUGCUUUACUUAUUAGAGAAUAAGGACUGUCUGUAGUCUGUAAUUGUAUUCCCAUAAAUUAAGAGUAAAAUUGAAGACCUCAUCCGAGGCAGCAUGCU
ensembl:lncRNA